rnacentral:rRNA from 1 species
CCUACGGGAGGCAGCAGUGGGGGAUAUUGCACAAUGGGGGAAACCCUGAUGCAGCGACGCCGCGUGGGUGAAGAAGCGCCUCGGCGCGUACAGCCCUUUCAGCAGGGAAGAAAAUGACGGUACCUGAAGAAGAAGCCCCGGCUAACUACGUGCCAGCAGCCGCGGUAAUACGUAGGGGGCAAGCGUUAUCCGGAUUUACGGGGUUUAAAGGGGGCCCCAACGGCGAUGCAAGCCAGGAGUGAAAGGCCGGGGCCCAACCCCGGGACUGCUCUUGGAACUGCGUGGCUAGAGUGCAGGAGGGGCAGGCGGAAUUCCUGGUGUAGCGGUGAAAUGCGUAGAUAUCAGGAGGAACACCGGUGGCGAAGGCGGCCUGCUGGACUGCAACUGACGUUGAGGCCCGAAAGCGUGGGGAGCAAACAGGAUUAGAUACCCUUGUAGUC